GGGGAAAGUAAAAAAAAAGGUUACAGAGCUUUGCGCUGGUGAGUAAGAAGAAAAUGAGGUAAUCGAAAAGAAAUGUUAACAACACUAUUAUCAAUGUUACCAAUUGCUUUUAAAUCAUAACUGAACUUGAUUUUUUUUUAAUCCUGUUUCAAAACUGCAUUGCACUCAUCAGACAUUACAGCCAUACUUAACACUUAAGCUGAGAAAAAAGCAUUUAGAUUAUGCUUUUCCUUCAAUUUGACUUGAAUUACAAAUAACUGUGUUCCUACAUCUGAUAAAUAGAAAAUGCUAUAAUUUAACAACCCAAUUUAUAGACUAUUUUUGAAUAGCAGGUCCAAGUAAAUGGAAAACCCAAACAACAAACAACCAAGGCCACUUAAAUUAAACAUCUGCAACUUUUACCUCGCAGUGUUAGCAGCUCUUCUAUUUAAAUUAGUAUGAGAUUAAGCAUUGUGUGGUUUAGCAAAGUAUCUGCAGGUUCUACAGAAUUACUAUUGAACGUACUAUUGAUUACAGAAAAUCUGUGUAAAUCUAAUGGCUCUGCGGGAUUUUAGGACAGGCAUGUAGUUGCAAAGAAAGACGUAUAAUAUAAAUAUAAUCUUGAAUGCAAGAUGGUGUGUGACUUCUGUGCACAAACCACGCAAUGACCACUAUCUAUGCAUGAUCCUGAAAACUAAAGUUUUAUUUCUUUCACAGGUCUGGUUACAUUUAUGCAAUGCAAAAAUAUUUGGUCCACUUUGAAUUUCCAGGUGAAUCUCAAUUUACUUUACGUGUUUUUUUAAGUAAAUUUCUUAAAAUACAUGGAGCAGUCCGUGUCCCUUCACCAUUUUUGUGCCAUUUCUUCCCUUCAAAGCGGAUUUUUAACGUAAUUUCUUUAAUGUCCUUGUUUUCAAACUUCAUCAGAAUGUCAAUUACAUUUUUACAUAUAUAUAAUGGAGUAAAAUGUUUCUUAAGGAGAUUUUAAUCAUUAAAGAUGGUGUUUAAGGUGGUGAUGUAA